rnacentral:rRNA from 1 species
GUUGUGGCUAAUAUCCACAGGAAUUGACGGUACCGGACAUAAGAAGCACCGGCUAACUACGUGCCAGCAGCCGCGGUAAUACGUAGGGUGCAAGCGUUAAUCGGAAUUAUUGGGCGUAAAGGGUGCGCAGGCGGUUAUAUAAGUCAGAUGUGAAAUCCCUGGGCUUAACCUAGGAAUUGCGUUUGAAACUAUAUAACUAGAGUGUGACAGAGGGGAGUGGAAUUCCAUGUGUAGCAGUGAAAUGCGUAGAGAUGUGGAAGAACACCGAUGGCGAAGGCAGCUCCCUGGGUUAACACUGACGCUCAGGCACGAAAGCGUGGGGAGCAAACAGGAAUUA